GAUGAACGCUAGCUACAGGCUUAACACAUGCAAGUCGCGGGGCAGCAUGGGGGUUGCUUGCACUCCCCGAUGGCGACCGGCGCACGGGUGAGUAACGCGUAUCCAACCUUCCCUUCACCACGGGAUAACCCGGCGAAAGUCGGACUACUACCUUAUGUUUUCCAUUUACGGCUUCCGUUUUGGACGAAAGGCUUUGCGUUGAGGGUUGGGGAUGCUUCCGAUUAGCCAGACGGCGGGGUAACGGCCCACCGUGGCUACGAUCGGUAGGGGUUCUGAGAGGAAGGUCACCCACACUGGAACUGAGACACGGUCCAGACGCCUACGGGAGGCAGCAGUGAGGAAGAUUGGUCAAUGGGCGUAAGCCUGAACCAGCCAAGUAGCGUGCAGGAUGACGGCCCUAUGGGUUGUAAACUGCUUUUAUGCGGGGAUAAAGUGGCCCACGUGUGGGCUUUUGCAGGUACCGCAUGAAUAAGGACCGGCUAAUUCCGUG
rnacentral:rRNA from 1 species